rnacentral:lncRNA from 1 species
ACAGUCGGUUGCUCCCGGCACCAAGGCCGCAGGCGGCGGUCGGUGCAGGGCGCCCCGCUGGCGUAGUAGUCCAUCCCGCGCAGACAGUAGUGGCGGCCCGAGCAAGCACUUUCGUAACCAUGGAAGGGCAGGCGGCCGGGCAGCGGGUCCACGCACCCGCAUCGGGGCGUGAUCCGCGGCAGCUGCUGGUUCCGCGACAGUGAGUUCAGCAUGUUCACCAUCACUUCGCGCUCUGCUCCCGCGGGUCCCCAGCGCAGGAGACCCAAAGACAGAUGCACAGGGAUGGGAAGAGGCCGAGUCACGGACAGAGUGAGGCGGAGACAAAAGCCAGGACGGAUAGAUUCAGGGUUCCACCCUCUCCAGGACCCUCGGCCUCCUCCCCGUCCUUCAGGCAUUGAGCCGCUCCGGCCUAGGAGGGCAUUCCAAGGGCAUUCCUCGAACUGCUGUCUCCAUCCUGGCCUCCUGGAAGCGGCACACAUGCUACCUCAAGCUCUGACCUGGCAGAGCUGCUCCCUUUUAGGGGUCCUCCCAGAACACCCAGACCUAUCGCCACGCCGCAACUUCUCCCGCCCUUCAGCAGCUCCCCACCUCUCCAGGGCUCUGUGUUGGCGGCUGUCACCGGGCAACGCUUUUACAUCGCCAACAGGGGCGGGGUGGGGUAGGAAGGGCUGAAGGUGGAUGGGGUUUGGCUCCUGGGCCUGUGACAACCCUGUCUCAGCGUUUGCCUUUGAUUUUACCCCUCUUUGUCUAGCUGACUCUGUUUAGCUGUGUCUGGGUGUCUCUCUAAUAGGGGGUUUUCAAUAUUGCUUGUCAUUCCGG